CUGCUGAGAAUCUCAAUUACCACCCCUCGCCAUUUGGGACAGGCCGUUUGGUUACGGGAUUGUCCUGUUGUAUCUGGUGCGUUAUGUAUAUUAGCAUUCUCAUAGCUACCAUACUUGGUACAGUACAGAUAAUUCCCUACUUCAUGGAUAACAUUUCCACACCCAGGCUUCAGUACUAU